GAUGAACGCUGGCGGUAGGCCUAACACAUGCAAGUCGAACGGCAGCACAGGAGAGCUUGCUCUCUGGGUGGCGAGUGGCGGACGGGUGAGGAAUACAUCGGAAUCUACUCUGUCGUGGGGGAUAACGUAGGGAAACUUACGCCAAUACCGCAUACGACCUACGGGUGAAAGCAGGGGACCUUCGGGCCCUGCGCGAUUGAAUGAGCCGAUGUCGGAUUAGCUAGUUGGCGGGGUAAAGGCCCACCAAGGCGACGAUCCGUAGCUGGUCUGAGAGGAUGAUCAGCCACACUGGAACUGAGACACGGUCCAGACUCCUACGGGAGGCAGCAGUGGGGAAUAUUGGACAAUGGGCGCAAGCCUGAUCCAGCCAUACCGCGUGGGUGAAGAAGGCCUUCGGGUUGUAAAGCCCUUUUGUUGGGAAAGAAAUCCAGCUGGCUAAUACCCGGUUGGGAUGACGGUACCCAAAGAAUAAGCACCGGCUAACUUCGUGCCAGCAGCCGCCGUAA
rnacentral:rRNA from 1 species